AAUGAACUGCCUGAAAAAGGAUUAUCUUGAUAGGAUAAAUUAUGUAAUUUUUUAUUACUUUCAUUA
rnacentral:tRNA from 1 species